rnacentral:ncRNA from 12 species
GGGUAUUUGUCUAGCAUGGGGCUAGGUAAAUAGGUAACGUACAGGUCGGGCCGCCUGUG